CGGGCAGUGGCGCAGUGGGUUAAGCGCAUGUGGCACAAAGCGCAGGGACCGGCGUAAGGAUCCCGGUUCGAGCCCCCGGCUCCCCACCUGCAGGGGAGUCGCUUCACAGGCGGUGAAGCAGGUCUGCAGGUGUCUAUCUUUCUCUCCCCCACUCUGUCUUCCCCUCCUCUCUCCAUUUCUCUCUGUCCUAUCCAACAACGAAUAGUGUCAACAAGGGCAAUAAUAAUAACCACAACGAGGCUACAACAACAAGGGCAACAAAAGGGGGAAAAA